UACGUAGGCAGCGAGCGUUGUUCGGGGUUACUGGGCGUAAAGGGUGUGUAGGCGGUUGUUUAAGUUUGGUGUGAAAUCUCCCGGCUCAACCGGGAGGGUGCGCCGAAUACUGAAUGACUAGAGUGCGGGAGAGGAAAGUGGAAUUCCUGGUGUAGCGGUGAAAUGCGUAGAUAUCAGGAGGAACACCGGUGGUGUAGACGGCUUUCUGGACCGUAACUGACGCUGAGACACGAAAGCGUGGGUAGCAAACAGG
rnacentral:rRNA from 1 species